UGGCUGAGGUCACCACAACAUGAGGAACUUUAUUAAAGCACCCCAGCAUUAAGAAAGUUAACAACUGCUGAUUUAUAAUGUCCACAAGCCUCACUCAUAAUUUUUCCUUGAAGAAUGACCCAAAUCAUAGACAUUACAUUUGGUAGCAACAAUUUUCCUGCAGAUAAAAAUGAUGGUUAUAUAUAACUUUGAAGACUACCUUGAAGCAAUAGGGUAUGCACCGAGUACAUUUUUCAUUGGUAGUUUAAUUCUAGCUACAAUGGUCACAUUUCAGCUGCUUAGUAGCCACAUGUGGCUAAUGGCUCUGGUGCAGUCCCAUCCUUGCAGAAUGUCCAACUAGACAGUGUACUACCUGGAGGUGUGAAUUAGCAGAGCAAAUGACAUCUUUACUGGAAAGAGUCAGGGUGGAGUUGGAUGGGCUAUAUAAUAGUUAGGCUGAGCAAUAAGGCCUUCAAUAGUAACAACAAUCUAUUCUGUAAUUAAUGUCCAUGAUAGGCUUGGAAUGCUCCUUUGGGGGAAAGUUAAAAACCUAUUCACACAGCUUUCUUCUAGGUCCCUGACCUUUCUGAUCGCUCUUCUCUGGAGUAUUUUCUUUAGAGAACUUGUAAAUUCUUUUUCUCCUUUGAGCUCUAUGUAACUUCUUCUUUAAAAGUCAUUUGCCAGUUUUACAAUCUAGUAAUCUCUCCCUCUUGGGUCUGGGAGCCAUCCCUUUGAAAUGCAAUCAUCAAAAGAGACAGCUCUGUCUUAAGUUCCUGUGGGAGAAGGGGGUUCAGCUUCCUUGGGCACCUUGUUCCAGGUAGUAAAGUUCCAGUGAAGAUGUGACAGCUAGAGCCUUCCUUUCUAGAAAGUCAGCUAGCAAACAGACAGUUUGUGACUUCACCCAAAUGUCUCCCAAUAUGUUCAUGUUUUUACCAGCUCUCCUCAGCCCUAAGAAGAAAAAGGAGCCCAAGUCUGCUUGGGAAACACGGGGAAGGGAAACCAUCUUCAGCUAAACGUGAUUUUCCUCUAGACAAGGCCAUAUUUUUAAAAAGAGGGCUAUUGGGGUUGGGGCCUGGGGAGAUAUAGGAAGAAUCAUGAAUUUUGAUUAGAACUACAAAUAAUACACAGACACAAUUUACAGUUUGCUGAUGCCUUAUGCAUUUUAAUUUUUUUGCCUUAUGCAUUUUAGAAGACUCUCAUGUCAAUUGUUAAUCUUGACAAGAGUUAUAGAAUAUAUGUCCUAUUUGUAUGUCGAUAGUAUGCUAUGUUAAUGUAUAUACUAUUUCACCAAGACUGAACAUAACACUAGGAAGCAUAAAGAAGUGUCAGCCCUUGUUGUUGUCACUUGUGUCUUUGGAAGCCACGGAUGCUUACGCUGUGGCUUCUCCCACCUGAAUAAAGCCACUCCCUGUGAGUUCUUCCACAGUUCCUUUGCGGGAACCUUCUCAUGAUCAUCUACUCAGACAGAGAACCAUAAACAACUGACUUUGACGACCACAUCUCCCCUUGGUCUCUGAGCUCAUUGGUUUCUUUCUUGCCCAACACGUUUGUUUUCUCUGUAAGGACUUUGAAGUGGAAAUUUCUAAUUGUGUCAUGGGAUGCAGACUCAAUGAUGUUUUGCUGAGGCAAGACCCAUGAGAGGACACUUGAUCUUUAGAGAGAGUAUAAGUAGGACUCAAUGGACAGAGACAGGACGUUUGCAUAGCUAGUUGCACAGCUCUCCUUUGGUCUGGCAUCUUUGCUGAUCUUCACUUCUUUGAGAGAGGCACAGCAGAGAACUCCUGGCAUUCCCACUCCUGCGACUUAUGCUGAUUCAGCGGAGGUCUCAUGGUUUCUUCUGGAUUGUUUCACCGUUGCUGAUUUUUGUUUGGCGACACUUUUGAACUAGACUAUUGGUAUCCUGAUACUACUGAACUAGACUGCUGGUAUCCUAAAAAAUGGAGGGUCAAAGCAUUUAAAAACCCUUAUUAAACGUAGGUUUUGAAAAAUCUAAGCCUACAGGACCUGGCUUGUAUUAUCUCAGGGCUUCUUAAUAAGCAUUAAGGAGGAGAGAGGCAGAGAGAGAAACAGACAGACUGGAUCACUCAGAUGAGGAUGGAAGCACAGGUCUUCCCAGCUGCUGGCUGACCUGAGAAGCCAUUUUUCUAUUCUGUGGUCCCACAUAGGUCACUUGAGAAGAGUGGGCCUAUGAUUACAUCUUUCUCAUUCCCACCAUUGGAGUGAACAUGUGGCUCUGCUGAGUGACUCUAGGGGAGGCCCCAAGAAGCGAGCACCCAGAUGGAAGUGCGGCUGGUGGUGACAAACAAGGCAGGCAGAUGUUCCUUCCCACCGGAGAUGGAAGCAGAUGAUCAAAUUGUGUUUUCAAAGAUCUCAGUGCUAAUUAUACUGUUUGUACUGCUUAGCAUAACUGCAGUGUGAUUAUCCUAAUGAUGUAUGUUGGCUCAGCAAGAAAAUUUUCACUUGGAUUCAAAAUCUAUUCUCAUUUUUACAAGAAAUUGGCAAUUAAAUUUGUUACAGAAAAAAAUAAUUAAAUGUUUGCUUCUU
rnacentral:lncRNA from 1 species